UUACAAAAUCAAUAUGACAUACUUUUCAGGUCUUUACAAAAUCAACAUGACAUACUUUUCAGGUCAUUACAAAAUCAAUAUGACAUACUUUUCAGGUCAUUACAAAAUCAAUAUGACAUACUUUUCAGGUCUUUACAAAAUCAACAUGACAUACUUUUCAGGUCAUUACAAAAUCAUGACAUACUUUUCAGGUCUUUACAAAAUCAAUAUGACAUACUUUUCAGGUCAUUACAAAAUCAAUAUG